rnacentral:tRNA from 2 species
AAAAUCCGUCGAUUUUAGAAAUCGUGAGGGUUCAAGUCCCUCUAUCCCCAAAGAGCCCAUUUCGCUGUCUAACGCUUGAGUCUAUCCUUUU